UACGGAGGGGGCUAGCGUUAAUCGGAACUACUGGGCGUAAAGCGUGCGUAGACGGUUAUGUAAGUCGGGUGUGAAAGCCCCGGGCUCAACCUGGGAAUGCCAUUCGAGACUGCAUAGCUAGGGUGCGGAAGAGGGAAGCGGAAUUUCCGGUGUAGCGGUGAAAUGCGUAGAUAUCGGAAGGAACACCAGUGGCGAAAGCGGCUUCCUGGUCCAGCACCGACGUUCAGGCACGAAAGCGUGGGGAGCAAACAGG
rnacentral:rRNA from 1 species